rnacentral:rRNA from 1 species
AUUGAACGCUAGCGGGAUGCUUUACACAUGCAAGUCGAACGGAGUGGCGGACGGGUGAGUAAUAUAUCGGAACGUGCCCAGUAGCGGGGUAUAACUAAUCGAAAGAGUGGAUAAUACCGCCUACUAUUGGAGCGGCCGAUAUCGGAUUAGCUCGUUGGUGGGGUAACGGCUCAAAAAGGCAACGAUCCGUAGCUGGUUUGAGAGGCAGAACAGCCACACUGGGACGGAUACACGGCCCAGACUCCUACGGGAGGCAGCAGUGGGGAAGUUUGGACAAUGGGGGAAACCCUGAUCCAGCCAUCCCGCGUGUAUGAUGAAGGCCUUCGGGUUGUAAAGUACUUUUGGCAGAGAAGCGGUAUCUGCAGAAUAAGCACCGGCUAACUACGUGCCAGCAGCCGCGGUAAUUC